UGUAACAAUUAUUUUAUGUAUUUUUAUAGACAAGUGGAUGGGUUAUUAUUGGAACAUGUUAAGAUUCUGGAAUUAUUCAAUGAAAUGGAGUUGCAGGAUGGUUAGUAAUGAAUCCUAUUAAAAUUUCAUAAUGGUGAUCUGGAUUCAAUCAAGAAGGAACUAUAUAAGCCAAUUUGUGGUAAUAUUGUAAAACAGCUAAACGAUUUGACUUAGUGAGUCGAGUUUCUAGUCAAAAAAUUGACUGACUUGAAGCGGUUUAGGCCCAAUUGCAAGCUGAUUAUUUUAAGAAUAAAAAUGAUUUUUUUUGUAAUAGGUAUAUUUAUAAUAAAAAUAUAUUUUAUCAUA